rnacentral:rRNA from 1 species
GACGAACGCUGGCGGCGUGCUUAACACAUGCAAGUCGAACGACGUGGCGAACGGGUGAGUAACGCGUAAUCAACCUGCCCUUCAGAGGGGGACAACAGUUGGAAACGACUGCUAAUACCGCAUACUGAAGGAGGGGAUUGCGUCUGUUUAGCUCGUUGGAGGGGUAACGGCCCACCAAGGCGAAGAUAAGUAGCCGGGCUGAGAGGGUGAACGGGCACAAUGGGACCGGGAAAAGGCCCAGAAUCCUAAGGGAGGCAGGAGUGGGGAAUCAUCCGAAAUGGAGGAAAGUCUGACGGAGCAACGCCGCGGGAGUGAUGACGGCCUUCGGGUUGGAAAGCUCUGUUAAUCGGGACGCGGUACCGGAAUAGAAAGCCACGGCUAACUACGUGCCAGCAGCCGCGGUAAUAC